UAUAUAUAUAUAUGUGUGUGUGUGUGUGUGUGUGUGUGUGUGUGUGUGUAUAUAUAUACACAUAUACACACACACACACACACAUAUAUAUAUAUA